UACAGAGGUGGCAAGCGUUGUUCGGAAUUACUGGGCGUAAAGCGUGCGCAGGCGGUUCUAUAAGACAGAUGUGAAAUCCCCGGGCUCAACCUGGGAACUGCAUUUGUGACUGUAGAGCUGGAGUACGGCAGAGGGGGAUGGAAUUCCGCGUGUAGCAGUGAAAUGCGUAGAUAUGCGGAGGAACACCGAUGGCGAAGGCAAUCCCCUGGGCCUGCACUGACGCUCAUGCACGAAAGCGUGGGGAGCAAACAGG
rnacentral:rRNA from 1 species